rnacentral:rRNA from 5 species
AAACUUUCAACAACGGAUCUCUUGGUUCCGGCAUCGAUGAAGAACGCAGCGAACUGCGAUAAGUAGUGUGAAUUGCAGAAUUCAGUGAAUCAUCGAGUCUUUGAACGCACAUUGCGCCCCCUGGCAUUCCGGGGGGCAUGCCUGUCCGAGCGUCAUUG